rnacentral:misc_RNA from 1 species
GUGAAUCAUCAAAUUUUUGAACGCAAAUUGCACUCUCCGGUUUUCCGGGAAAGAAUGCCUGUUUGAGGGUCUGUUUAAACAAUAAUCGAGUCUGCUGCUGUGGUCGCGCUGCGGAAUUGGGUCAUCUUCCACCUUUCUGGGUUUUAAGCGACCUAAAAUUUUUGUUACGAUUUCUACUAACGUUUCUAAGAAUUUUUCUUAUA